rnacentral:rRNA from 1 species
CUACGGGGUGCUGCAGUGGGGAAUAUUGCACAAUGGGGGAAACCCUGAUGCAGCAACGCCGCGUGGAGGAUGACACAUUUCGGUGCGUAAACUCCUUUUAUAGGUCAAGAUAAUGACGGUAGCCUAUGAAUAAGCGCCGGCUAACUCCGUGCCAGCAGCCGCGGUAAUACGGAGGGCGCAAGCGUUACUCGGAAUCACUGGGCGUAAAGAGCAUGUAGGCGGGUUAAUAAGUCAGAAGUGAAAUCCAAUAGCUCAACUAUUGAACUGCUUUUGAAACUGUUAACCUAGAGUGUGGGAGAGGUAGAUGGAAUUUCUGGUGUAGGGGUAAAAUCCGUAGAGAUCAGAAGGAAUACCGAUUGCGAAGGCGAUCUACUGGAACAUUACUGACGCUGAGAUUCGAAAGCGUGGGGAGCAAACAGGAUUAGAUACCCUCGUAGUC